rnacentral:lncRNA from 1 species
UCGGCGUUGUUGGACGCCGCCAGGAUCAUCUCCGGGUGCAGCGCCGGGGUAACGUUCUUGAGCGUCCCGUCGAUGCCGUUCGGCCGGCCGAGGGCCUUGAGCGCCAGGUGCGCCGCCUUCUGGCCGGAGAUCAUCAUGGCGCCGAAGGUCGGGCCCUAUAACCAACCGCCACCACAAGACAACAGAAAUUAAUCCGGUCAGUCCACAAGUCGUGAGUGAUUCGUCUUCUUUCUUCUUCUUCUAAGAAGGAGACUCGUGUCGUGUACAGUAUAAAUUAUAAAAGCAAAAUUUAGGAGUACCAUUCUCGGGGCACCGUCGAUCUCGGCGACCUCCAUGCCGGUGACAAUCAUGCCCGGGACGACCUCGCGGGUGAGGCGCACGAUGGCGUCCUCGGCCGUGUUCAUGUCAAGCGCCUUCAUCCCGGGCACCGCCUGGAUCAUGCCGAUGUCCUGGAGCCGCUUGACCCCGGUGGCGCCGAAGGGCCCGUCGUGGCCGCAGGAGCUCACCACGACCUUGGCCUCCAUGACGUUGGGGUCCAUGCAGGACUGUGUGUCGUGGUUCAUGGAGACGAGCGCCCAGUUGGUGACGACUCCGGCGACGCGGUUCUCCUUGACGAUGAGGUCCUCCACGGCGACGGCGUUGAAGAGCUUGACGUUGGGGCGCGCGAGGAGGCGGCUCAUGAUGGUGGAGGUGAAGAGCGCGGCGUGCUUGAUGACGACGUAGUCCUCCUGCUCGUCGUACUCGAUGUUGAGCUCGUCGAGGAAGAGGUGCGCCGGCUUGCGCACGACCAUGGCGGAGAAGAGCUGUCCGCCGAGCCACGCGCCGCCGCCGGGGGACACGGACUGCUCGAUGAUGGCGAUGCUGAUGGAGGGGUCCUUGGAGAGCUCGUACGCGCAGGACAGCCCCGCGGACCCGGCGCCGACGAUGACGACGUCGGUGUCGGCGUAGGUGAUCAUGAANNNNNNNNNNNNNNNNNNNNNNNNNNNNNNNNNNNNNNNNNNNNNNNNNNNNNNNNNNNNNNNNNNNNNNNNNNNNNNNNNNNNNNNNNNNNNNNNNNNNNNNNNNNNNNNNNNNNNNNNNNNNNNNNNNNNNNNNNNNNNNNNNNNNNNNNNNNNNNNNNNNNNNNNNNNNNNNNNNNNNNNNNNNNNNNNNNNNNNNNNNNNNNNNNNNNNNNNNNNNNNNNNNNNNNNNNNNNNNNNNNNNNNNNNNNNNNNNNNNNNNNNNNNNNNNNNNNNNNNNNNNNNNNNNNNNNNNNNNNNNNNNNNNNNNNNNNNNNNNNNNNNNNNNNNNNNNNNNNNNNNNNNNNNNNNNNNNNNNNNNNNNNUUGUGUGGAGCUGUGCUAGCUUCUUUUUUGCUGAGAUGGGUGGAGACCGGAGACUGAUGAUAAGGGGGAGUGUGAGUGGCAGGGUAUAAGAAGAGGAGGAGAGGCGAAAUAUCUGCAGAUUGUGGGUACGUGCUGCCAGAUCUGAGCAUGUCACAGACUUUGGACUCAUUCGGGAUAUUUUUGUGGAGCACCUGGGAUCCUCUGUCAAUCUCUACUAGUACUACCGUAUCAAAAAUGAGAGCUGGUUCCUUUGGCUCGCCUUCUUGCUCGGUUUUUUCCUUUCCACCCAUCCUCUUUCUUCUUGGUUUUCAGUUGAAUUUUACCCUCAACCGAUACCGCAUAAAACUAAUAUAAAUAGAGUAACAUAACCUAAACCAAAUCGAUACAUUUUUCGAAUAACAUCCAACAUUAACUCAACCAAACCAAAUCAAAUCUUCUCCGGAUCACAACUAGAUUAAAAAAAAUCUUUCUUUUCUGUAUGGUACCCAAAUCAAACCAAAUCUUAUCAAACCUCAACUAAAUUUAAAACUUUUUUUAUUGCGUUCUCGUACUCAAAUCAAAUUAAAUCUCGUAAAUUGAUGGAUGUAAAGCAUAUGUCACAUAUAAUUAGUGUUGACAUGUUUUCGUUACAAUGCACGAUUAAUUAACUUGUUUUGGUUGUUAUCGUGGAGUUAAACCCUUUCAAAAGAAGUAAGCCGAUAACUCAUUUUUGUUUUUUUUUUUGCACUGAAGUCAGCAAUGACACCAUCCUAGGACAUGAGNNNNNNNNNNNNNNNNNNNNNNNNNNNNNNNNNNNNNNNNNNNNNNNNNNNNNNNNNNNNNNNNNNNNNNNNNNNNNNNNNNNNNNNNNNNNNNNNNNNNNNNNNNNNNNNNNNNNNNNNNNNNNNNNNNNNNNNNCAUCCUAGGACAUGAGAUCAGCAGUGAUGUCAUUCAGUACAUUAUAAAGGGAAAUUGGCCCCGUUUUCUCCCCACCCCCCUCGAUUUUUUUCCUCCCACACCCCCACUAUCUCCUUGGUUUUCUCAUGAUUUUUUGUACUCUCAACCAAUGUUGAACAAAAAUAAAACUAACAUAAAUAGAGUAACCUAGAAUAAUCUUAAACCAAAUCAAGAAUUUUCUAAAAUCACGUCAUGCAAUAGCUCACUCAAUCAAAUCAAAUCUUUCUGAAAUCACAACUAAAUCAAAACUUUCCUUUCUUUCCCCUAUGAAUACCCAAAUCAAAUCAAAUCUUACGCAAAUCUAAACUAAAUCAAAAAGUUUUUGUGUAUUCAUCUAGCCAUACUCAAAUAAAAUUAGAUCUUACCAAAAUCAAGAAUAUGAUAGGUGUAAGGCAUAUGCCAUAUACAAAUAAUGUUGAACCACUAGAAUAUGUAUGACCCCAUUGCAAUGCACGAGCAAUUAGCUAGGUUUUAUGGAUUUCAGUUUUUAACACCGUACAAACCUAGAUGCUCAUACAUAGGCACAUACACUCACAUGUACCUCUAUGAACAUCUCCGAGACACUGAGAUGACACAUCAUCUUGAGAAUGACGAAGUCGUCACAAACAACUUAGGAGUUGACGGGAACGUCUUCUCCCAAUAAACACACGUUAUCAGAAGGUUUAAAAUAAAUCCAGAAAAAUGCAACAAUUAAUGUCAAGUCUAGGACUUGAACCCCGGUGGGUUCGCUCCACCAUAAGGAACCUAAUCAUCCGAGUAUGCUGUGUUCACAACAAUUACCUAAUUGUUUUGGUUGUUGUCGUGGAUCAAACCCUAUCAGAAGGAGUAAGUUGGCAAGUCAUUUUUGUUAUUUUACUGUGAAGUCAACAAUGACAUCAUCCUAGGACAUGAGAUCAACAGUGAUGUUAUUUAGUACAUGACUUAAGCAAUCAGGUUACUAGGACCGUAUACUCCACAAGGUAAUGAACUAUGGGGCACUAAUAUAGGAGUUAAAAGCACCCCAAGUCCUACAACUUGCUCACAAUGUGAUUAUUUGGUCCAAAACUUGCAAAAGUUGACCCAGCCAUCCCAUAGCUUGCACUACAUGUGACAUUUUAGUCCUGGGCCAAUCCCAAUGUGCCAAUUGGCAACCAGGUGGCUGGACCGGUCCUGGCCCGCACUUUUGUAGAAAACCCCUGCUAUUCUCUCAAUUUCACCCGCACUCCCCCCCACCUGCACUUAAUUCUCUCGGGGAGAACUCUCGCGUGUGUCCCCUUCCCUGUGCUCCCAGCUCACCGCCGCCGUCAAGGUCGUCUCUCGCCAUGGUCUACUCGAACGAUCUGCCAACCUCAUUUUGGGACGGCGAAUCAGUCAACAGUCUGGUAAGUCCUCUAACUAUGGCACCAGUUUGUCGCCGCCGUCAAGAUCGUCGCUCGCCAUGGUCCAGCUAGGGUUAGUGUUCAGACGUAGAAAUUUGUAGUGAACUGCCAUCAUUCCUCGCAAGCACCUGCCACCAUUCGCUGCUCUGAAUGGAGCAGGCUUGCUACAGAACUUGGUGCUAGAUGUGCCCACCUAGAAGUGUGUGAGAAGCUUGUGGUUUUCGAAUAUGUGGAUAGUGGCAGGAGGUUCCUAGGCUGUGCUAAGAAGGUCAGUAGCAUUUCCUCCUAAAUGUUGACAUUGAAGUCUGAAUUUUAACAGCUAACUCUGCAUUUUAACAACUAACUGUGCAUUUUGACAGCUAACUCAGCAUUUUGACAGCUAACUCUGAAUUUUAACACCUAACUCUGAGUUUGUGAACUAAAUGUUUAGAGUGAACUUAAUGUUGCACUAAAAUUUGUGCAGUUCAUUUGUUUUUUGCACGGUUUUGCCUUAACUCUAUACUAUUAUAUGUUUAAAUUUCUAGGAAUGAUCAAAAUGCAACUAUGUGAAGUCAGUUGAUGAUGAGUGGCCUCCUCAACUCAAGAUGGCUUUAUGUACCAUCUGGGACAUGUAUGAAGAUGAGAAGAGGCUUAGGCUCAGGAAAAAUAUUCCUAGUGUUGAAGAAAACUUGAAGAUGCUGAAAGAGAAGGAAAAAAUGGAAAACGAUUUGAGGUUUUUCAAGGUUAAUUUUGCUAAGAUGGUUGUUGACAAGGAGAAGGCAUUGGAACAUUUAGGUAGCACACAAAUUGCACUCUGUGACCUAAAUGAGGAGUUUGAGAAGAAGAAGAUUUGUGGCAAGUCUGUCACAAACAUUCAUCAGGUGGUUAGGGCCAAGGCACAGAAAGAGAGGGACUUGAUGAAGCAAGAGAGGGACUUGAUGAAGCAAGAGAAGGAUAAUUUGGUGUCAGAGAGGGAUAAGUUAAAGAAAGAGAAGGAGCUGGAGUACACGAUUGGUGAUCUCUUCAAACAUAAAGAGGGCACCAAGUGCAACAUAAGGAAGAUGAAGGAGAUCCUCGAUGAAUUUGAGUGAUGCAUUGAUGUUGUAUUGCUCACAUAAUUUGCAUUAGCUUUAUUUAAAUUAACCUAAGGUGAUUUCUGUGAUUUAUGUGUGAACUUCAAGGUCUUUGAUCUUAUUUGUGUAAUGGAUUAUGGAUUAUGGAUUAUGUGUGAACUUCAAGGUUUCAUGAACUUAAGUAUGUGUGAAGUUUAUUCAGUAUAGUCUAAUUUUUGGUAGAAAUGAAGGUUCGUGUUAUAUGUAAUCUGAUUUUGUUUAGCUGUAAUUUUUAACUGAAUUCUGGAAUUGACACUGUUUUGGUUAACUGAAUGCAUGCUACAUAUGGUCCAAAACAAAGAACUUUAGAGAUAAUUGGAGCACAUAGGAUUAAACCAUGGGAAUUCACAACAUAGUUGAUAACUUGAGCUAACAAGUUAACCAAAAUACUUCAGUUCUUCUAUGCUGAUAACUUGUAGAUAACUUAUAUGCUGAAUUCUAUGACUAAUCAGCAUACCUAACUACCUCCUUCUUCAAUUCUUCAGUCCAACAUCUUCAGAUGUGCUGCAUAUUAAGUUCUUCAGUUGCUUCAGACGCUCUGAGCGGCGCACCACCCCUGCAACAGGCUUCUGGACGACUUUCUUCCUCUUCUUCUUGUCAUCCACCACACCCCUAGUCCUCGUCAACCUCCAUCUUGACGAUGUCGGGCACGACUCAUAGUGGAUCCACCUAAAUUGGGAGCUCUUUGUCUCCCUCUUUGGCUUCGACGACGUCCGCAAACAGGUGCACCUCCUGCUCCUCUCCCUGCAUUUCCUGCACCUCCUCCUUGCUAGAUUGGUGCGAGUAGUCGUAGGAGGAGGAGUUGUUAGAGGAGGAGGAGUACAGGUCAUCGAACCAAUCCUUGGGGUGGAGCGUCUCCGGCUGGAAUCGAUCCCAGUAGGCGGUGUUGACGGGCGUAGGAAUGGCGAGGACGACUUCCUGGGCGUGCUCCGCCCUGGAUUCAACAUGGUGCGGGUCCGGCUGCAGCGUGGCGGUGGAACGAUGCAUCCACCAAUUGGCCCGCUGGUUGGGAUCGUCCGACCGCGUCUCUCACCUUAUGAACCGCACGAUCAUCGCAGGAGGUAGGCCGCGACCAUUGGAAACGCACGUGCCUUCUUGUCGUCGGUCAUGAUCUUGACCAGACCGCGCAUGGUUCCUCAUCAUCUAGACGCUCGGGAACCAUCGCGCGAUCUCCUUUAGCUCCGUGCGGGCGAUGUGGUCGUCUCUGGCGAGAUCUUCAACAACCCUUUGCCAUCUAAGGCUGUUAUCCAUGCCGGUGGUGACGGUGUGGAGCUAACCAGUGGGCGAUGGGUUAGAGGAGUGGCAAGGGGAGAGGCCGAGGCGUCGCGAGUGUGGUUGUAAUGAGGAGCAUUAGGUGGUGUCUUAAAGCGGCGAUAAUUGUAACGUUGGGCCGUGUCGCGAGUGCGAUUGUAAUGGGGAACGUUGGGUCAUGUCUUAAGUAGAUGAUGUAUGUUUAGUGGACAAAAGCACUACAACUAUCCCACUGGCAUUGCACUCACCGUUGUUACAAACACGCACUGGGUUCGACUCCGAGACCAACCAUUUUGGUCAACAUUUUGGACUAGUGAACAUUUUCAUUUAACUGGUCUAUAUAACAAACAUUUUGCACUAUCGAAAUCAACAUUCAGUUUGUCAAAUCAUUCAGUCAAGCCAUUUAAGUAUAUUUAGUUACAAAAAUGGCAUCCUAUGCCACUGUUUGCCAUCAAGAAGGGCAAUCUUUGCCAUACAAAAAAGCGAUUCAAAGAGUUACAACUCUUUAGGACUUACAAAAUGGUAGUGCAAAUUCUCACCUAAUGAGAGAUAAGGUGUAUCCUGUGAGACAUGCAACUCUUCAGGAGGGGCAUUCAGACCAGGAAGUUGGUUGGGCCCGUCAUCUCCAAAUAGCACCCAGUAUGCUCCUCUCCCUGAUCUUGUUUCUCUCCCUGCAUUUCCUCCUCCUGCAUCUGCGUUUCUUCCUCCUCUUCCUCUCCCCGUUCCUCUUCCUCUCGCUCCUCCUCUUCCUCUUCAUCUUGCUCCACUUGGAUUUCUUCCUGCAUCUAGACUUCUGUGUAUUUUCCUGCCUCUUGACCUGCUAGCAGCUUGAGAUCCCUCUGGCAUGUCAACUAUUGUGCUUGCCCUUGUCCGCCUAACAAUGUUCAUUUCAGUAGUGACCCUUGGCUGGGGUAUUGCAACACGUGUAGCUGCAACAAAUGAAGACUGCUCUAGCAAUUAACCAUGAGCCCUUUGAGGAGCUCUUCUUGCUCUCUCUCUGUUGGCCAUGUUGAACACCAUACUAGUUGGUGACUCACUAGGGUCCAACCUAGGAUCUGGCCUGUGUGGGAAGAUGUUCUUCAAAGAAACAAUGUCAGUUAGGCAGAGUUGAAGCUUUAUUUCUUCAGUUAUAUAACAAUUUCUACAGUUAUAACUCAUUUACCACAGUUAAAGCUCAAUACAUGCAUAAAUGAAGGGUCAUCAUAAUUUUCAUCAACAAGCUCCACUCCUUCUUCAAUUAGUGCUUCCUGCCAUCUGUAGUGGCCCUUCCUGUUGUGGUCACCUCUACCACAAAUUGAGCAGUGCAUUGUAACACCUUUUUUGUUCAAAUAUCUAGCACCAUUCUUCUUCUUCUCCUCUAGUGUCUUCUUCAUAUUCUUCUUAGGCCUCCCCAACUGUUUGGUGAACACUGGUGGAUGUACCUUAUACCUUUCUGUUUAUCCCGGUGUUUUGUGUCUCUAAGAGGGAACAAAGUGUAUCCAUAAGCUUUCACAUAGUUCUCCAUAGUGUAGCAAUCAUGAACCAUUGUUUCUGGGUCAAUUCUCUCCUCCCUACAAUAGGCUACACAAUGCCCACAUGGUAUUCGAGAUAGCUGCCAUAUCCUGCAAUCACAUGUGUGCAAGCACAAGUUAACUGUGUAGCUAGAGUUACCACAUGAUACUCUAAAUAUUUGUUGGCCUGCUUCUGAUACAUGGCAAUUUGCAGGAAACUCGGUGUUCUUCUCUAAAUUCUUCUUGAUCUUUGGGAGUAUUAUCUGCCCUGCCCACUUUUCUAUUGCCUCCCUCUGUUUACUCACCAGCCUUUCCAUAACCUUGUAGAAUAUGUACUCACGCAUAGACAAGGCAUCCAUCUCUCUCCCUCGAGAAUGUAGCUGCACAUAGAUAACAAAAACAUUAGCUUAACAUGCCAAAUGAUUUCAAAAUUUGCAAGUUUCAGUGUUUAACAGUUGAAGUAGUUUUACCUGUUAAACACUUCAGAAUUAUUGUUUAGCAGAAUGUCACAUUUGGAAUUAACUGAAAAAUGCUUUACACCAAGUCUUUGGAUCUAGUCUUUCAGUCCAAUGGAAGGCAGCUGAAUUGUGUGCAUCCAUUUUCUCACAAUUCCGUCUCCAUUUCACCAUGUUUGUUGAUCUUACAAUGGACCACAAGUCUUGCUUCAGUACCUCUACUUUGUGCUUCUCACUGAAGUUCUGAUAGAUAUGCCUCACACAAAACCUAUGUUCUGAAUCUGGCCACACUGUAUGAACAUCACUUAUCAAGCCUUUCUGCUUGUCACUCAUAACUGUGAAUGGAGCAGUGUUUGUGAUGUUCAAAUCAUCUCUUAGAGUAGUAAGAAACCACUCCCAAGAACCUUUGCAUUCUACUUCUACCCAACCCAUAGUAAUUGGGUAAAUGGAGUCAUUAGGAUCAAUACCCACGUCACUAAGCAACACUCCCUUGAACCUGCUUUUCACGUGACAACGAUCAAUGAAUAUAAUAGGUAUGCAUCCCUUUAACCAACCUCUUUUACAUGCAUCAUAUGACCAAUAAAGUGUUUUCGGACAUUUCCUACCCAUUGGAAAUUGUUUGUCUUUAACCAGAUUAGUUGAGAGAAGGAAAGUAGAUCCAGGGUUUGUACUCCUUAAUUCAUGCCCAUAAUCCCACAGCCUACUGAAUUGCUCUUCCUCGUCACCAUGGGUCUUAUUCAGGGCUUGUUUUCUAGCCCCAGCAAGCUUCCAUAUGUUAGGCGUAACAUUGAACUCCUUGGUGAUCUUCCUUGAAAAGGUACCAAGUGACAUCUUCUCGUCAUCUCCAAACUCAUCUACGAAAUACUUACACAUGAACUUUGCUAUCAGUGACCUUAACUUCCAUUUCUUCUGACACUUGUGAUGUCCAUUAUAACUCUAGAUCAUAAAUCCCCCUAUAUUGUUGUCAUUGCCACCUCUGAGAAGCCAUGGGCAACCUCUUGGACAAACUACCUCAAUUGUUAUCUUGUCAUUAUUGAUCUUCUUGAUCUGCACUCUGUUCCUAACUGAAUAUGCAGUAAUAGCAUGACUCAGCUCCACAACAUCAGCAAAUACCAUCCCUACUUUGAAGACAGGGGAAACCAUGUCAACCUUUGCACUGGAAGAUUUAAAUUUGUACUUUAGUUGCUCUGCUUCCUCAAUGGAUAGGUUAAGAUCUUCAUCCUCAAGUAAAUAGUGAGGCUCCACAUCUUCCUCUUCCUAUGCUUCUUCAUCAACACCAAAGUCAAUGUUUUCAUCAUACAUGUCAUCACCCCCCUCAUCUAUCUCAUAAUCAUUGUCACUAAAAUCUAAAUCUGAAAGCACUACAUCUUCAAUGACUGUUUGGCCACCUUCAGUAAGUAAAUUUUGCUCUACACCUUCAAUCAACAUGUUACAAUCAGCUGCUAUCUCUGAAAUGUAUUGUUCAUCAAUCACUGGAAUGAUGUUGUGGGAAGAUGUUGCACUUACUUCUGCAACACUUGAGGUGGCUAGGCUAACACUUGUAUUAAUUGAAGACAAUGUUAGUCCAAAUUAGCCUUGAAAUUGCUCACGAAAUCUGAAUGGUCAACCAUUAGUACAAGCAUCUUAUGGGAAGCACUGGAUCUGAUCAUGUGCUACAAGUUAACAUCACAUCUAAUUCUGACCAAACCAUCUGGGAUUGUUUUGUUAGGUAGGCACCAAUAUAGGAUGUGCUCACCCACUAGAUAUCCCAACCACUUCCGGUGCUCUUCAAUGAAUGCAUAGGAGAAUGAGGUAGAGUCAACAUAGUCAAGAACCUCAACACAAGGGUUAAAAUACUCCAAAUUGUUGAUUUCUCCAUAGAAAAUUCCACCAUGCUCAAGUUCAAGUGUGAAAAAACAGAACCCACAGUUCGUCCAUUUAAUGAAUCACACACUACAAAAAACAUUUACAUUAAGAUAACUGAAACAAAAAGUUGCACAAAGUUACAUUCAGAUAACUAUAGUAAAGUGACAUUCAUUUAACUACAGUAAAGUCAAAAAAUUCAGUGAACUACAACUCUUCAGUUAACUACAACAAACUCAAAAUAUUAAGUGAACAAUAUUCUACAGUCAAGUGCAUGGAAUUCAGUUAACACAAAGAAUGUAGUUAACAAAAAAAAACAGUACACUACACACAAGUGCAUAGGUGACCAAAGUUCAGCAAUUCCAUCACAAAUUCAGAACAUCAUAUUACAAAAACAUCACCAGGAGCAAAAAUGGACAAGCUUUAAGAAAAAACAUUCUUUUGCCACUAGGUGCACUGUAGAAAUAAACUUAAAAACCCCAUCAUCAUAGACACGAUCAUCCGCCUAAAACCCUAGCUAGCAUGCCAAACCACACAAGAUCCUAUAGGCCCUGAAACUAUCUUACGAUAUCAACAGAACCACACAAGAUCUAAUGCCUUGAACCUAGCUCGAGCAGAGCAGAGCCUAGUGGGGCAAAGCAGAGCACAACAGAGCAGGGCAAAGCAGGGGCACAGGAGAAGAUGGCUCACAGUAAUCCGUUGGGAAGGCACCCAACAGGCGGACAAGGUGAGCGAACGGUGGCGGCUCUGGUGGGAAGAACUCCGGCGAUGACGCUGCAGUUGCUGAUGUCAUCGGUGGACGAUGGUUGUAGCACUGUUGUCGCCCCCGACAUGACACAAUAACAUGCAAGAAACAAACCGGACGCGAAGCUUCGCUACGACAAAUUUAAUGUAGGUGGGGGAGAAUGCAGGUGAAAUAGAGAGAACGACAGGGGGUUUAUGCAAAAUGCGGGCCAGUACUGGUCCAGUCACCUAGCUUCGAGUUGGCAUGCUACGAUUGGCCUAGGACUAAAAUGUCACAUGUAGUGCAAGUUGUGGGAUGGUUGGGUCAACUUUUGCAAGUUAUGGACCAAAUCAUCACAUUCUGAGCAAGUUAUAGGACUUGGGGUGCUUUUAACUCCUAAUAUAGUGUUGAGUGCUACUUUAGAUUACACGCUGGAGUAGAGAUGUGAAGCACUACAUUUACCGAGUUCAUUGUGGUCCCCUCUUCUAUAUUCUCUCUAUCCCUCUGAUCCUUUUUCUCCUAAGCCAAUAGCUUCUCAUCUCGUCUACUUUGAUUAAUCACUUUUGCCUCCUUCUCCUCUUUCCAUCUUCUUUUCUAGCGAAGCACGUGUCUCUCCCGCAGGAUCCUGUUCGGGCCUGCAAACACCAUCUUUUUACCUUUUUCUCCACGACAUUAGGGCAUCUGACGUGUACGACUGGGGCAUUUGUACAUGAUGGAGCAUAGUUUGUUACCUAAGUACUCCUCUAAAGAGGUAGCACACCACCAUUUGUAAAUUAAUUAUUCAACGUUGAAGCUUAGUAUUACUAGUAGAAUGCCCGCGCAUUUCCACAUGCUUCUGAAAUAUUUUGCUGAGAUUAUAUAAAAUUAAUGCAUAUUAAAUUUCAUAGGUAGAGGAAAUAUAACAUCCUCACAAUUGCAUAACAAUUGAAGUCUUCACGUAUAAUAACAAAAUAGCAAAUUGACAAUGUAAACAUAUGAAGUGAUGAUCCAACUAAAACUAUAUUACAAAUGAUUGGGAUCUACUUGAUGCGCUUAAGAAAUUCUCACACAAUAUCUUGAAAGUUGUCUUUAGCUUCCUUCGACGAUGUUUGAGCAAGUAUAAUAUAAAUUGCUUCCUCAACUCAUACCUAUCCUACAAAAGGAAUAAAUGUAGUUAGCACGAAUACCUCACAUGAAAGGUCUAAAAACAUGUGUAAUGUUACAUUUCUCACCAUGCAAACUGGUUUCGAAAAGUCUUUACCUUUCCACAAUACUGAACAAAGUUUAUAUGAAGGGUUGAGGUCCUGAUUGAUAGCUAAGUUUUCGAGAUUAAAGUGCCUUUCAAAUAAUAAACCAACUAUUGAUUUCUCCUUAUUUUCAAGUCUGGAGGCAUUAAGUAUAUCUCCACUAAUUUAUCUUCCUCUUGAUAUAUUCGUCAUGCCCAUCAAUUAAUAACAUACACCGGAGAAUUUUCUUUCCUUUUCAUCCUCAACAUGAUCCUCUGGCUUAUGCAUAUGGCAAUCCUUAAUUCCAGGGACGUAUUUCCAUUAUCUCUUUCUUAGGAAAAUCAUAACCCCUGAUUGCAUGCUUCGUCAAUGUGCCUGACCAUUAUUUCCCUCCAAGGUGAUUUUUUGUUGUCACUCUAUAGUACAAUUAUGUACCACCAGAUUAAUUAUCAUUUUAGAAUUCACACUCUCCAUUUUGUGUCAUAACUGCUAAGUGUUUAAAUAGGCUACUAACUUUUCAUCCCCGCAUGAAAUGUCCUAGCAUGGUUGUUCCUAGAAGGCUCAUUUUGUUUAUGAACUUGGAACACCUAUCCAAUUAUGUGGUCUGUCGCAGACCCACCAGAGGGGAUGAAGAGAAAUUGCAUAGUAUCUUGUUGUGUCAACUUAAAAUCUUUGACCAGAAAGACAUAUUUAACACGGUAUGUAGGAUUUAUAAAGCUCCCAUGAAAAUAGUUGAGAUCAAGGAAGGCAAUCACAAGGAUGUACUAACAAAAUGUACAUCUAUCGUUAAAAAAUUAAAUGUACAUCACAUUAACAGAGACAACUUGAACAUGAUGAACGAGCUAGGAUUUUAUUAUUUAAAAAGGGCUCCUAAACUUAAGGCUGCUUCAAUGUUCAUGUGGAAGUUCUAGGAUUUCUAAAAAUAUAAUCUAUUAAUGUGUUUGCUCAUAGUUUUUUUAUAUUUUUUGAAUGGUAUAACGAUGGUAGCAUGUCUAAUGGGCUGCUUGGAUCUUGCCCGUGGCAGCCACGCCAACUCGUGGGCAAGCAAAAAAAUUGGCGAGCCUGGAUGGAGCAUGGGCAAGCCAAAUAAUUGUCUACGAUCCAGAUAGAUUCCUAGUGUGUGGUCAACGUCAAUUUUUUGGCUCGACAACUUGUUGCUCAAAACCAAACAGCCCAUAAAAUACAAUGGCACUGGAACUGAUUCUAGGCAUUGCGAGCUAGAUGCGGCACUCACAGAUGCGACAAACUCUGAUCUGUUUAUAGGAGAGGCAACGAGAGUAGGUGGAGCAACAAGAACAAUAAUAGUUUUAUAAUGGUAGCAGAAUACAAUGAUGUAGUCAAAGGAUGUAAAUAUUCGUUGCACGCAUAGACGUUUGCCUAUUUUAGGAAAAACAAUAUACCACGGCGACUCAUAUCAUCUUGCAUCGCGACCCGUGGCAAAAAUAUGCAUGCCUACGUAUUAGCCUCGUACCAGUUUUUAAAUGGGGCUCACUACUCAUUCAUGGCAGACAAUUUUUUUAACGACAUUGAAACCAAAUCAAUUAAUAAUCCGACAAUACGGUAGCAAAACCAAAGUUCAGUAAUAGCAAAACACCAUAAAGUUUCUACGUAUAUAGAAGACAACAUAUUAUCUAAUUAUUCAUAUUAAAAAUAGAUAGUUAUCGUUUCAAUGCUGAUGGAAUAUAUGUGAACUGGGAUGGGUAGUGAAAUAGGAGGUCGAUGGAGUUUAUAUAUUUAAAUUUGUCCUCUUUGACAUAUAAAUUUUGGAGAUCUAAAAUUGUCUUUCAAAUGAUGACAUCCAUCUAAUUAAAGUCAUUGUUUGAUUUCAAGUAGAAAUUAUUUCGUGACGACGUCCAAAAUUAGGUCAAAAUCGCUUUGUGAAUAAACGAGAAAAGAAAAGAAAUAUAUUUGGUGACGACCUCCCAAAUUUUAAAGGAACUUUCUUUCCUUUUCCUCUCUAUCUGAUGCAUAUGGGAACGAUUGAUUUCCUGAUUGUACAAGCAUUAUCUCUUUCGUAGGAAAAUCAUAUCUUUUGAUUGCAUCCUAUCUUAUUUUUCUAUCCCAGCCAAAGCAAAUAUUUCUAUUUUAUUAUUAAAUAAUAUAUACACCGAAUAGUUGUCCAGAAGUACGUGUAUCAUACAUUGAUAUAUACUACUAAAAGGGUACCACUCAUAGUUGGCAAUGAAAUAUGCCAUAAGUUUUUUAUACAUAUUUUAUUAAAUAUAAUACAUUAUUAAACCAAUAAAAAAGAUAUGUCGAUACUUCAAAACAUGUCACUUGGCAACGAAAUGUUGCAGGCACUAUGUUGAUACAUCUAUUAUCUACCUAUUAUAUACUUAAAAUGGUAGAAAACGAACAAUUAUGAUUAGGCAAUGACACAUUAGAUAAAAAAGUAUAGCGUUACGUAAAAAUAUUAUAGUGUACGAAUAGGUUGAUACGAGGUAUAUAGAUCUAUUAUAUACUUAAGACAAGAGGCAAACAAGCCAUACUUAAAACGAUAGAAAACGAACAAUUAUGAUUAGGCAAGUUAGAUUAAAACGUAUAGCGUUACAUAAAAAAUAUUAUAAUUUACAAAUAGGUUGACAUGUCACGUGUUACAUACGAGGUAUAUAGAUCUAUCAUUAUAUACUUAAGACAAGAGGCAAACAAGCCAUCAUGCUUCGUCCACAUAUAUUAAUGGUUGAGAUUAAAAGAUAGGAACUAUACUUAUUAUAUACUUAAGACAAGAGGCAAACAAGCCAUCAUGUUCGUCCACAUAUAUUAGCGGUUGAGAUUACAAGAUAGAAACUGUACGUAGAACAUAAAUCAUGUACAAUUAAGGUGUUGUUGGCAUGCUCCUUUAAAAAAAUGUCGUUAGCAUGCCCAAUUAUACAACAUUUCCCUAAAAAAGUCUACAACAGGACAUCUAUACCUAAUAAUAAAGCGGCUAUUGCUUUCGUCGGAAAACCCACCGCGAUAUUUUUAUAAAAAAGCCCCUGUAAUUUUUGUUAUCCAACCCGCGCUUCAUCAUUUAUCUGCAACGCAAAAGGAAAAAAAUGAUUCGCUGCAAAAAUUAUACCCGUACGCAUCUCCUCCUCCCGUCGACCCUGGGCCACCCUGGCCUGUGCCCAGGCCGCCGCCACACCACCCGCCGCCGCGGUCGACCUCAACCGCCACCGUUGCCAAUCUCAACCCCGCCGCCUCCGCGGCUGUACCUCUCCCCGCUCACUGCCCCCGUUGCGGUGCUCGAGCGCAUCGCGUCGACCCUGGUCCACCCUGGCAUGUGCCCAGGCCGCUGUCACACCACUCGCCGCCACGGCCGACCUCAACCACCACUAUUGUCGAUCUCAACCCACCCGCCUCCGCGGUCGUACCUCUGCCCGCUUGCUGCCCCCGUUUCAGCGCUCGAGCACAGCUUCUGGAUCAAAUCAACGUGACAGCUACAGUGACUGGGGAUGAUGCGUCUGCUCGAUGCAGAAAAGCGGCGGCGCGCGGAUAAGGCACGGCGGAGCGAAGUACUUGCAGGUGGAGGCGGGCCUCCAUGGCUCACGCGGGGAACUUCGAGGUUAUGGCGCGGCAACGGCGACUCCUUAUGGCCAGAUAGAGGCGACUAACCCUUUCUCCCCUCAUCGUAUCCCCUCCUCCGGCAAGAACUCAUCAUCUGGUGAGAUCCCCUCCCCAUGCCUCCAACCGUGUGCCAAGCACCGGCAAAAUUUUUUGUUUUGUGGGGAUUUGUUUGGUGAUGAAUGAAUGUAUUGAAUGUAAGAUUGUAUUGUUUGUAGAGACAGAGAAUGGAACACCACCUUCAGUUUGUCAUCUGAUCCCACAUUCUCUACCCCAUGAGUGAAAUAAGAUAACAGUCCAUUGAUCAAUUCACGUAGCCUCUUUGUUUUGCUUUGUUUGUUCCGCUCAAUUUCUCAUCUUGGUGGAAUUAACAAUGAACGAGUUGAUUUCUCAACAAAAUAGGAUAGAACUGACUACAUUAGUUAGUUAGCUUAUUAUUUUAAUAAAUCAAAAUGAUUAUAAAAAGAUUAAAAGCGUGUGGUAUUUUUUUCUCCCGUUGCAACGUACGGACCCUUUUGCCAGUUCAUAUAUAAGAAAAUACAGACAUCUCUAAGUCAUCACGUAUCUAUUGUUGAAAACAAGCAAGUCUUCGUAUCUAUUGUUGAAAACAAGCAAGUCUUCUUUUACCAGGAGACAUGCAAGAAGCCCAGGCCCAUACAAUUGACGAGCAAACUUGAUGGGGCAAACGAUAGUUUGAUCGUAUUGUACAAGGUGGAUAUAUUUAUAUAUAUUUUUUGAAAGAGUGGAGGAGUUCGGAUCGGCAUAGAUAAGUUGCAAAAUAUACAUUGUCCAUAGCAUGUACGGCAGUGCAAGCUUAAAUACUAGUAAUACGUAUCUAAAGCUAUACACGAGGACUCUUGGAACCAAUGAAAAAUGCACAACUCUACACUCGGACGCUUCGAACCAAUAAAAAAGGCACGACUCUAUUUAAGAAAAGGGGUCACACACAUACCAAAGCAACACGUCCUGGGCAUAAAAGUUUAGGAAAGCAGUGAUGGUCAACCUAUACAGGAAAAAAAUAGUUGCCAAAUUACUGUACAUUGGAGCUAACUGAAAAAACUGACUGCUAACAACAGUUCUAAAGAAAUGAAGAUGGGCAUUUUCAAAGGUAAAAUAAAUUAAUUUAUGCUCACUUAAUAAAGUCAUGUAAAAAAUUAUCAUCACAUCAUAGGAAACAAAAAUGUUAUUUUACAAUAUAAAUGUUCAUAAUUUUAUGACAAUAUAUAUGCAUAAAAGAUAUAAGCAAUGAUACAUGUUGGGGGGCUAGGGUGAUGUAUAAAUAUCAUAUUUUUAUGAACGAGAGAGUACAACCACAUAGAUACUAAGACUUUAGAGAAAUGCGUAGUGUAUGUAGAUGCAAAAAAAAUGCAAACUUUAUUAGGUAAAUAAAAAGUAACCUCUAUAUUGGGCGUACAAGUAGAACUCUAUUUUUGUAUUCGUAAAAGUACGCUAAAUCGGUAUAAAUUUGCAAAACAUGUUCAUGGGCUGCUUGAUUUUCAACACGUGUUUAAAAGUUUUAAACAUUUUUUCCUGAAAUUUUAAUUGCGGAUUAGUAAAUCAGAAGAACAUAGAACGGGGUAAGACGAAACAUGGGUAUGCGAUCCAGUAUGCGCUAAAUCAUAAAUUGUGAAUAAAACUUUAGAAAUUCAAUACUUUAUUUGAAUUUCAUAUCCCCAUAUAUAUCGCAUGUAAAGUUAAGCUACAAAAAACCUAACCAAAUGUGGCUUUAAUCUCGGCUUCUGAUAUAAUGGAGAAUGUGGUACAUUUGAACUUUUUGUAUAUGCUAAUAUAAAUCUGCAAUAUAUAAAAGGAAAAAAAUCAUAUAAAAAUUCAAUUGAAUGGCAUAAAUAGCGAUAAUUUGGACAUAUUUAACAUAAUAUCUGUGAUUUAUGUUUAAAUUCGCAGAUGAUGAAAAUGGCAUUGAAAGUUAACAAGAAUGAGCUAUGACGAGAGUCAUGCGAAUAUUUUAUUUAAUAUUAUCUGACAAAUACACACCAACGACUAUAUAGUAAAGAGAAACGAAUAAUAGAGCAAACAUUGAUCCAUGGAAGCAUCAGGAAUGUUGAUAUUCAAUAAGUCGAAAAUUCAAUUAAAACACAAAAAGCGAUGAAGUCCCUGAAGCAAGAUAACACAGUGAUAUAUUGGCACUCAAUAUUUGUUUACAAUUCUUGGCGGGGAGUUUCUGAAAAAUUUCUAUAUGCUUCAGAAAUACACAUGUUGAAUGAUUGUAAGAACAAAUCCAAAAAUUAAUAUAAAUGUGAGUGUCAUAUAUCUUCGGUCAUCACAUAGCGAGGUCUUAGAAAUUAUCUUAUAUGCUUUCAUGAAUUUUUAAUAUUAAUUUAUACAUACUUUCUCGAGACACACAUACACACUAAUUACACAGUUUUCUAAAUUUGACAUUAUAUAUAAAUGCUAAUGCUAACGUGUUAAAUCUUGAUGAAAAUACUACAAUUUGUAACUACAUGAACCAAUAUCUUGCAUGCCUAAUGAAUAGUCAUAUUACAUAUGUUUAUAAUAGAAAUCACAGUUACUUUAAUUAUGUCUUUACUUGGAAAUGUACAAUCCCAUAUGGACUAGAAAAUAUUGUGAGUGUCUUUUCUUUUACCUUUUUCAAAUUUAGGCGCAUUCGUUCAAGGUAGUAGCUCAUCACCAAGCUCAGAUCGAUUGUAGAACAGUAUAAGGAAGGCUUUCAGUCCAUCAUGCAUUUGGGGUAGUAAUCAGGUCUUUGAGAGGUACAUGAAAAUAUGUUAAGAUUCAUACGAGUCAUAACAAGGUGGAGACAACAAAAUAAAAAAAAAACACUGCUCGAGAAAGAAUGAUAUGUCAGUUAUUAGCUAGCAUGGUAACCUGUGCUGAGUUCAUAGUUGUCAAACAAUCUGUUGGACUUAAUUUAUAAUAUGCUAAAUAGAAUAGCUAUAGAAGUGGGCAAAGGUAGGUAAACACUAAAAUGGUUCUAAAAUCAAUACGAUAUAUAAAUACACAAACACAUCGACAAAUAACAAACCUAGCCGCGCAAAUGCGCGGGUGACCCCGCUAGUUUCUAUAUUAAAGACGAAAUGUGUACUUUUGUAUAGAUAGAUAAUUCUAGCAUCCAUUGUUCCUAGCAUGAACAAUAUCAUUGGCAUACGCAUGUGUUUCAUCAAGUGUCGUGAGGCUGGCUUUAUGGAUAUCUACGAUAAUGAUUAGUGUUAGUAAUGACAUAAUAUUACAGAAAAUGAUGCAAUGCCAACAAAUUUAAAAUAGUACGUAACCCCUACUUUGUAGAUGAUGAUCAUCAUCAUCAAUGUGAGUAGAGAAGAAGAAUGUGUUCACCCUCAUAGUCUGCAAGCAUUUGUGCCUCAGAUUUAAUUAUACGUAAGUAACAACAAGCUUCUCGAACACAUUUUAGGUGUGUUGCAGAUGGUAGAAGUGACAACCGAUGUUCUCCUCACAUACACGUAGGAAACUUAUCUACCAUCUACAAACAAAAAUAAAUAUUAGUUUAUGUUCGAAACAAUAAAAUUAAAAGAAGCAUAUGAAAAUCUCAAAUUCUAAAUGGCCCAUACCGAAAGUUCAUGAGGCCAAUCUCAAGGAAAGGGAUGUGACAUCUAUAUAUUGACUCCAACCACUAGUAUAAAAGAGGGCCUUGGUCCAUGGCCUGCAAUCCCAUUAGUCUCGGUUUACCCACGAGCCGGGACCUAUUGAUGACCCACAAGUAUAGGGGGUCAAUUGUAGUCCUUUCGAUAAGUAAGAGUGUCGAACCCAACGAGGAGCAGAAGGAUCUGACAAGUGGUUUUCAGCAAGGAAAUAUCUGCAAGCACUGAAAUUAUCGGUAACAAGUGAUUGUGUGGUGAGAUGAUUCGUAGCGAGCAACAAGUAACAAAAGUAGCAACGGUGCGGCAAAGUGGCCCAAUCCCUUUUGUAGCAAGGGACAAGCCUGGACAAAGUCUUAUAGCAGGAAAAACGCUCCUGAGGACACACGGGAAUUUCUGUCAUGCUAGUUUUAUCAUGUUCAUAUGAUUCACGUUCGUUACUUUGAUAGUUUGAUAUGUGGGUGGACCGGCGCUUGGGUGCUGCCCUUACUUAGACAAGCAUCCCACUUAUGAUUAACCCCUCUCGCAAGCAUCCGCAACUACGAAAGAAGAUUUAAGACAAGGUCUAACCAUAGCAUUAAACUAGUGGAUCCAAAUCAGCCCCUUACGAAGUAACGCAUAAACUAGGGUUUAAGCUUCUGUCACUCUAGCAACCCAUCAUAUACUUACUACUUCCCANNNNNNNNNNNNNNNNNNNNNNNNNNNNNNNNNNNNNNNNNNNNNNNNNNNNNNNNNNNNNNNNNNNNNNNNNNNNNNNNNNNNNNNNNNNNNNNNNNNNNNNNNNNNNNNNNNNNNNNNNNNNNNNNNNNNNNNNNNNNNNNNNNNNNNNNNNNNNNNNNNNNNNNNNNNNNNNNNNNNNNNNNNNNNNNNNNNNNNNNNNNNNNNNNNNNNNNNGAAAAACAACAUACAACAUAUCAAAAUACCGAACGAAUACCAAAUUCACAUGACUAUUAUUAGCAUGACUUAUCCCAUGUCCUCGGGAACAAAAGUAACUACUCACAAAGCAUAAUCAUGUUGGAAAUAUGCCCUAGAGGCAAUAAUAAAUUACUUAUUAUUAUAUUUCUUUGUUCAUGAUAAUCGUUUAUUGUCCAUGCUAUAAUUGUAUUGAUUGGAAACACAAUGCUUAUGUGGAUACAUAGACAAAACACUAUCCCUAGUAAGCCUCUAGUUGACUAGCUCGUUGAUCAAAGAUGGUCAAGGUUUCCAGACCACAGGAAAGUGUUGUCACUUGAUAACGGCAUCACAUCAUUAGGAGAAUNNNNNNNNNNNNNNNNNNNNNNNNNNNNNNNNNNNNNNNNNNNNNNNNNNNNNNNNNNNNNNNNNNNNNNNNNNNNNNNNNNNNNNNNNNNNNNNNNNNNUAGAUCGGAAAUCCCCUCUCGUAGAUGGACAUCACCAUGAUAGGUCUUCGUGCGCGUAGGAAAUUUUUUGUUUCCCAUGCGAUGUUCCCCAACAGUGGCAUCAUGAGCUAGGUUCAUGCGUAGAUGUUAUCUCGAGUAGAACACAAAAGUUUUUGUGGGCGGUGAUGUGCGAUUUGCUGCCCUUCUUAGUCUUUUCUUGAUUCCGCGGUAUUGUUGGAUCGAAGCGGCUCGGACCGACAUUACUCGUACGCUUACGAGAGACUGGUUUCAUCGCUACGAGCAACUCUGUUGCUUAAAGAUGACUGGCGAGUGUCGGUUUCUCCAACUUUAGUUGAAUCGGAUUUGACCGAGGAGGUCCUUGGAUGAGGUUAAAUAGCAAUUCAUAUAUCUCCGUUGUGGUGUUUGUGUAAGUAAGAUGCGAUCCUACUAGAUACCCAUGGUCACCACGUAAAACAUGCAACAACAAUUAGAGGACGUCUAACUUGUUUUUGCAGGGUAUGCUUGUGAUAUGAUAUGGCCAACGAUGUGAUGUGAUAUAUUGGAUGUAUGAGAUGAUCAUGUUGUAAUAGUUAAUAUCGACUUGCACGUCGAUGGUACGGCAACCGGCACGAGCCAUAGGGUUGUCUUUAAACUAACAUUUGUGCUUGCAGAUGCGUUUACUGUAUUGCUAGGACGUAACUUUAUUAGUAAUAGCAUGAGUAGCACGACAACCCCGAUGGCGACACAUUGAUGGAGAUCAUGAUGAUGGAGAUCAUGGUGUGGCGCCGGUGACAAGAAGAUCGUGCCGGUGCUUUGGUGAUGGAGAUCAAGAAGCACAUGAUGAUGGCCAUAUCAUGUCACUUAUGAAUUGCAUGUGAUGUUAAUCCUUUAUGCACCUUAUUUUUCUUAGAACGACGGUAGCAUUAUGAGGUGAUCUCUCACUAAAAUUUCAAGCUCAAAUUGUGUUCUCCCCGACUGUGCACCGUUGUGACAGUUCGUCGUUUCGAGACACCACGUGAUGAUCGGGUGUGAUAGACUCAACGUUCACAUACAACGGGUGCAAAACAGUUGCACACGCGGAACACUCGGGUUAAGCUUGACGAGC